UACGUAGGGUGCAAGCGUUAUUCGGAAUUACUGGGCGUAAAGCGUGCGCAGGCGGCUUUGCAAGACAGAUGUGAAAUCCCCGGGCUUAACCUGGGAACUGCAUUUGUGACUGCAUGGCUGGAGUGCGGCAGAGGGGAAUGGAAUUCCGCGUGUAGCAGUGAAAUGCGUAGAUAUGCGGAGGAACACCGAUGGCGAAGGCAAUCCCCUGGGCCUGCACUGACGCUCAUGCACGAAAGCGUGGGGAGCAAACAGG
rnacentral:rRNA from 1 species